UCUUGAGUAGAUUCUACUGAGUGUGGC
rnacentral:misc_RNA from 1 species